rnacentral:tRNA from 7 species
UCCUGCGUAGCUCAACGGCAGAGCAUCCGACUGUUAAUCGGACGGUUACUGGUUCGAAUCCAGUCGCAGGAGCCA